rnacentral:rRNA from 1 species
AACGAACGCUGGCGGCAGGCUUUAACACAUGCAAGUCGAGCGAGAAGCUUUCCUUCGGGGGGAUGGACAGCGGCANACGGGUGAGUAACGCGUGGGAACGUACCCUUCGGUUUGGAACAACUCCCGGGAAACUGGAGCUAAUGCCAAAUACGCCCUUCGGGGAAAGAUUUAUCGCCGAUGGAUCGGCCCGCGUCUGAUUAGCUUGUUGUGGGGUAACGGCCACCAAGGCGACGAUCAGUAGCUGGUCUGAGAGGAUGAUCAGCCACACUGGGACUGAGACACGGCCCAGACUCCUACGGGAGGCAGCAGUGAGGAAUAUUGGGCAAUGGGCGAAAGCCUGACCCAGCCACGCCGCGUGUGUGAUGAAGGCCCUAGGGUUGUAAAAUCCUUUCGCCAGGGAAGAUAAUGACGGUACCUGGAGAAGAAGCCCCGGCUAAUUUCGUG